GUGAGGAAUAUUGCGCAAUGGAGGCAACUCUGACGCAGCCAUGCCGCGUGCAGGAAGAAGGCGCUACGCGUUGUAAACUGCUUUUAACCGGGAAGAAACCCCAGGACGUGUCCUGGGUUGACGGUACCGGAGGAAUAAGCACCGGCUAACUUCGUGCCAGCAGCCGCGGUAAUACGAAGGGUGCAAGCGUUAUCCGGAUUCAUUGGGUUUCAAGGGUGCGUAGGCGGAGCGUUAAGUCAGUGGUGAAAUCCUGCAGCUUAACUGUAGACUUGCCAUUGAUACUGGCGCUCUUGAGUGCGCUUGAAGUGGGCGGAAUGUGCCGUGUAGCGGUGAAAUGCUUAGAUAUGGCACAGAACACCAAUUGCGAAGGCAGCUCACUAAGGCGAUACUGACGCUGAGGCACGAAAGCGUGGGGAUCGAACAGGAUUAGAAACCCUUGUAGUCC
rnacentral:rRNA from 1 species